GAUGAACGCUGGCGGCGUGCUUAACACAUGCAAGUCGAACGGAAAGGCCCAAGCUUGCUUGGGUACUCGAGUGGCGAACGGGUGAGUAACACGUGGGUGAUCUGCCCUGCACUUCGGGAUAAGCCUGGGAAACUGGGUCUAAUACCGGAUAGGACCACUUCUUGGAUGUUGUGGUGGAAAGUUUUUUCGGUGUGGGAUGAGCUCGCGGCCUAUCAGCUUGUUGGUGGGGUAAUGGCCUACCAAGGCGUCGACGGGUAGCCGGCCUGAGAGGGUGUACGGCCACAUUGGGACUGAGAGACGGCCCAGACUCCUACGGGAGGCAGCAGGGGGGAAUAUUGCACAAGGGGCGCAAGCCUGAUGCAGCGACGCCGCGGGGGGGAUGACGGCCUUCGGGUUGUAAACUCCUUUCGCUAGGGACGAAGCGUUUUGUGACGGUACCUGGAGAAGAAGCACCGGCUAACUACGUG
rnacentral:rRNA from 1 species